UACGUAGGGUGCAAGCGUUGUCCGGAAUUAUUGGGCGUAAAGAGCUCGUAGGCGGUCUGUCGCGUCUGCUGUGAAAUCUCAGGGCUUAACCCUGAGCUUGCAGUGGGUACGGGCAGACUAGAGUGCGGUAGGGGAGACUGGAAUUCCUGGUGUAGCGGUGAAAUGCGCAGAUAUCAGGAGGAACACCCGGUGGGCGAAGGC
rnacentral:rRNA from 1 species